UACGUAGGGAGCAAGCGUUGUCCGGAAUCAUUGGGCGUAAAGCGCGCGUAGGUGGCCCCAUAAGUCCGCUGUGAAAGUCAAAGGCUCAACCUUUGAAAGCCGGUGGAUACUGUGGGACUAGAGUACGGAAGAGGCGAGUGGAAUUCCUGGUGUAGCAGUGGAAUGCGCAGAUAUCAGGAGGAACACCAAUAGCGAAGGCAGCUCGCUGGGACGUUACUGACACUGAGGCGCGAAAGCGUGGGGAGCGAACAGG
rnacentral:rRNA from 1 species